UACGAAGGGGGCGAGCGUUGUUCGGAUUUACUGGGCGUAAAGGGCGCGCAGGCGGUCAUUUCUGUCGAGUGUGAAAUCCCCGGGCUUAACCUGGGAACUGCAUUUGUGACUGGCGGGCUAGAGUAUGGCAGAGGGGGGUAGAAUUCCACGUGUAGCAGUGAAAUGCGUAGAGAUGUGGAGGAAUACCGAUGGCGAAGGCAGCCCCCUGGGCCAAUACUGACGCUCAUGCACGAAAGCGUGGGGAGCAAACAGG
rnacentral:rRNA from 1 species